GGCAGAAUGAUUUUUUGCUUUCUCAGUCUUCCUAGAAAGAAAGAAAGAAAAAAAAUCUAAAAUCUUUAAGAUAUGUGUGGGAUCUGUUGAGUCACAGCCUGAACCACGGAUUGAUCACCUGUGGAAAGGACCCAGUCAGCCCUGAGAGCACAGGUGAAAGCAAUUCAUGUGUGCGAAUGGAAGGAGGGGAGCCUGGCUGCAGCUCUCUUAGAUCUCAUUUAAGGGCUGACUGCUGCUGGGGAGGAUCUUUGCCUGGUGGAUUUGCCACAAGGUUUCUUACAAUGACUAACAG
rnacentral:lncRNA from 1 species